rnacentral:misc_RNA from 1 species
GUGAAUCAUCGAAUCUUUGAACGCAAAUUGCACUCUCUGGUAUUCCGGAGAGUAUGCCUGUUUGAGGGUCAGUUUAAAUAAAAAUCGGUGUGGUUGCUGCCUUUCGUGGUGACGCACCGGAUUUGGGUCGUCUUGCCUUCGUUUAAGUGACCUAAAAUUUUGCAUGAUUUUUUUCGAACGUAUUUAAAUGAUUUUACGUACGUUUGCGAUAUCGAAUACUAGUUGUGGUCAUCCUAUUUAUUCCCCCCUUUAUUUUUUCUUCAAAUUACCCCCAA